CUAUUCUUGUUUAGUCAUGUUUUUCUUUUUUUUUUCUCUUUCUAUGUUGUGUGUUACAUACGCAGGUUAAUUUGUGGGCACAUGCAUCUCUCGUGUAAAAUAUAAAGUUAAGUGAUUAAAUACAAAUAAUAUAUAGGAUAAUAUUCAAACAGUUAUCAUCUCAUCGAUUAAUCCAAAGUGAAAUACAUUUAUACAUUAAAUGUAUUAUAAACAAAUUGUUGUUCAACGAAACAAAAAGUGAUAUGAAAUUAAAUAAAAUACAAUGGUUAUUAUCGUUUGUUAUAUUUACGAUCAUUUUCACCAUUAUACUUUGGGCUUCGAUAGAUCUUGGUCGAAAUACCAGCUUCGAUAAGAACGAAAAGGAAUCUAAACAAGAUAAAAGUUUAAAUAAUACAAUUAAUUCAUAGCUUUCCAUAUAAUAUGGUGAUAGCUUGAUUUUAACUCUUUGAUUUAAAUGUUAAUGGUAUUACAAGGAAAAACUUCCGUUAAAGAAAAUGUCGUCUUCUUAAUUAAGUUUAACCGGUUCCUCAAAAACCAAAUCAUUCGAAUCAAAACGAAUCAAAAAAAAAAAAAAAUUUAAGGAAAAAUUAUGCGACUAAACUAUAAGUCCAAAACUAUCAAAAAUAUAAUGUAAAUAACGUAAUGGAAAUUCAAUGAACAAAAAAUAAGUAACUGGUUUUCCUGCCGUCCAUGAAGAACUGUGUCUCUCUCUCUCUCUCUCCUCUUCGACUGAUUUAUGUGAGGAUAAAAGUUAUUUUGUUUUGUUUUUCUUUUUUUUAAUAUCAACAAUGUUUUAUUUUAUCAUCAAGGAAACAUUAUUCUAACGAAUGAAAGAGGAUUUCCAUUGAAAUAGUUGAUUAUUCAUUUGAACGUUUUGAAAAUAGUGUCGUAUGAUUUACGUAGUAUUAUCAUCGGUUAAUUUCAAAUUACACGUAGAUCAACGAAAUAAUAUAUCCUCCCCUUUUCGAGUUAAGAUCAAGCGAGUGUCAAAAUACAAAGUAACGAAAUACGAAAUUUGAUAAGGGAGAGAAUAGAAAAAGAAAUGACGAAUUAUAAGAUAAUAAAAGAAGAAAAAGAAGGAUCCAUUCAUUAUUGGAGUUAGUAUAUAAACGCUAAUAAGAAAUUCCCUUGUUUCAUUUGAUUGAAAUUUUAUUUGGAAAAUUCUUCUUCGUUUUAUUUUCUUUCUUUUUUUUUUUCUUUCUUUAUUUCUUGCUUCAUUUAUUUUAUUUCCCUUUGAUCCUUCUUUUUCUCCCCCACUCCUGUAAAGGAAAGAUAUACAGUAUAUACAGUAAAGACACAAUGGGACCGGUUAUAUGUUAGAGGGACUCUUUGUUAGUAGUUCCGACAAAUUCUGUAAAAGCGCUUCAGGCAGGAAACGAAACAUAAAUGUGCAUUUCAAAAUACGGUUUUAGUGAGAGCAGAGAAACGGUGGUGAAUAUUAUUGUGUUGUGUCUCUCAGUGCUGCUGUAUUAAUACAGUAGAUACAUUCUCCUCUUCCUUUCUUUUUUUUUUUUUUUUUAAUUCGACCUUGUUGUGUUGUAUUAAUAAUUUUUUUAUUAAAAAAAAAAAAAACAAAAACAAAGAAUAAGAAAAUUUAUUUUAUUCGUUUAAGUGACAACUAAUAAAUUGGAACAUUAUUACUUACUAUUAUAUUAUUAUUAUUAUUAU
rnacentral:lncRNA from 1 species